rnacentral:rRNA from 1 species
CAAGUCGAGCGGGCCCUUCGGGGUCAGCGGCGGACGGGUGAGUAACGCGUGGGAACGUGCCUUCUGGUCUGGAAUAACCCUGGGAAACUAGGGCUAAUACCGGAUACGCCCUUUUGGGGAAAGGUUUACUGCCGGAAGAUCGGCCCGCGUCUGAUUAGCUAGUUGGUGGGGUAACGGCCUACCAAGGCGACGAUCAGUAGCUGGUCUGAGAGGAUGAUCAGCCACACUGGGACUGAGACACGGCCCAA